rnacentral:snoRNA from 1 species
ACCAACCAGAUUCCUUACCCUCAGAUCUAACCAUUGGUCAAAGUGGCCAAAAAAGGAGGAAAAGUAACUGAAGUGGACUUGGCGUCUUUAGUGACAUCCAAGUUCAUGACCAAAAGGU